GUGUGUGUGUGUGUGUGUGUGUGUGUGUGUGUGUGGGUGUGUGUGGAGCGUGGCGGCCUUUUCCACUGUCUUGUGCUCCCGAGUGGUUUUAGUCUUUUACACGUGGAAAAGGGGAAAGGGUUCCCUCUCUGCUGUGCCUCCUCUGUGCCACCAACCACACGACAUAGCCAGAAUGAUUGUACAUAACGGGGCCUGGUUCACAGUAACACACACACACACUGCAUUUUUAUACAGGUGCAGAAAAAUGCUCUCCAACCUCCUUUGAUGCUGGCGAUCUUUUCCUGUCCGUCUAAACAGGAACAAAUUCGAGUCGGUGUUGUAAAGACGGGAUUCAAGCCGCAGAGAGGUCAAAAUAACAUUUGCUCCCAUGUAAACGCAGCCUGAGGUAACCUUUGUUAAUUAGCCUGCAAGAAAAAUGCAGUCAAGACCUUUUCCCCAGAUUGUCAGUAAUUUGUUUUGUUUUUUUUUUUGGAAAGGUUACAUUUACAUAAACAGAAAAUCUGAUUUGUAACCUUACGUUAUCUAGUUUUGAUCAUGUCUUUGCAGGAUGAACCUAAAAAAUAUAUAUAUAUAUGAAUUUAGAUUUUCUGCUGUGUAAAUGUAGUUUCUCAUCCUUUCUGCUCGAGUGCGUUGCUGUGGUACCAGGAUGUAAACUGUCUGUCACCAGGUCAAACAGUGAGACUGGAGUUGCAGUAGUGAAUGAUUGUAGGUGUGUGUGUGUGUGUGUGUGUGUGUGUGUGUGUGCGCGCGUGCGUGCGUGUUGAUCACAAAGCUUUGCAAUACUCAAGUAUUUGACUUUUUGGGACAUUUUAAUGGCUGUAGAUAUAUAGAUAUAGAUAUGCUGUGCUCAUUGCUUUGUACACAGUUUGCUUUUAAAGUAUGUGGAAUUUUUUUCUGACCUGAAAUCUACUGUAGAUUUUGCAAUAUUUUAUAUCACACUGACAUUAAUAUUGUUUUACUGUGAAUAAGGUAUUUCUAGAAGCAAUUGAAUUUACGCAUGCUUACUUACCACUGUAAUAUACAGAACAAACUGUUUUCAGUAGUCAAUAAUAUUGCAUUUGAUGCUUUUUGGACUGACACAGAACAUAACGAACAUUGAUUUUAUUUAUUUUUUCAUUGUGUAUUUAUGGGCAUUUUCCAUAAGUCAUACUUUCGUCUUAUUCUUUUGGAAAAAAAAAUAUAUAUAUAUUUCUUUCCUCUCCUAUUUGAGCAGAAGGAAUUGUCUUUUACAUUCCUAAAUAAAAUGUGGACUGAAGCUUGUUUCACCCAGCGUUUUUUUUUGUUUGUUUGUUUGUUUUCUUUUGCCUUUCUGCAAACAUU